AAAAGGCAUAAUUUGAUGCUAAAGUGGUUAAGAUGGAUACAAGCAGCAAGAUGUCUGUCUGCAGCGCAAGAAGUGGCAAGUCAUCUUCGUCAUCAGCGAGCGCAGCCCAUGCACGGGCCAGAGCUGAGGCCGCCAAGGACUACAUGAAACCCACAUUAGCCUCUCCUGAUACUGUAGCUGCUUAAAGUGUCUUUCUGAAGUCCAUGUUGGCCGGUGAAGUGUCUUUGUUGCUGGAGCAAACUGCAGGAGAUCAGUGUGUGAGAGAAGAUAACAAACAAUAAAUGUGUGAGAAGUGAGCAGGUCAGGAACUCUGGAUCCUUG